CCUACGGGUGGCAGCAGUGGGGGAUAUUGCACAAUGGGGGAAACCCUGAUGCAGCGACGCCGCGUGUGGGAAGACGGUCCUCUGGAUUGUAAACCACUUUUCCCAGGGACGAAGAUGACGGUACCUGGGGAGGAAGCUCCGGCCAACUACGUGCCAGCAGCCGCGGAAAUACGUAGGGAGCGAGCGUUGUCCGGAAUUACUGGGUGUAACGGGAGCGUAGGCGGGACUGCAAGUUGGGGGUCAAAUCUACCGGCUCAACCGGUAGCCGCACUCAAAACUGCAGUUCUUGAGUGAAGUAGAGGCAGGCGGAAUUCCUAGUGUAGCGGUGAAAUGCGUAGAUAUUAGGAGGAACACCAGUGGCGAAGGCGGCCUGCUGGGCUUUUACUGACGCUGAGGCUCGAAAGUGUGGGGAGCGAACAGGAUUAGAUACCCGUGUAGUC
rnacentral:rRNA from 1 species